UUUUCAGCCGCCGCGGUAAUACGUAGGGGGCAAGCGUUGUCCGGAAUUAUUGGGCGUAAGGAGCUCGUAGGCGGCCGGUUGCGUCUGCUGUGAAAUCCCGGGGCUUAACCCCGGGCGUGCAGUGGAUACGGGCUGGCUGGAGGCAGGCAGGGGAGAAUGGAAUUCCCGGUGCAGCGGUGAAAUGCGCAGAUAUCGGGAGGAACACCGGUGGCGAAGGCGGUUCUCUGGGCCUGUGCUGACGCUGAGGAGCGAAAGCGUGGGGAGCGAACAGGAUUAGAAACCCCAGUAGUCC
rnacentral:rRNA from 1 species